AUACAAAUGUGAACAGCCUAGUCAAAUAGCGAGCCCAGACACAUGCAAAGAAAUUUAAAAUUUUCUAAAGAAAGAAUAAAAGCACAGUUGUCUCACAAAGCUACAUAUUUCUAAGCAGACAAGGAAUUUAGCAAAUUACUGCAACAAGCUCCAGCUUCCGCAUUACUUAUGGGAGAUCACAGUUUUGAUAAAGCCACAAUUGGAUAAGCAUCUUAGAUAAAGAAAAACUCUCCUUCAAUUUCAUUAGAAGCUCUUGUAUGUAACGCACAAACCACUUUAGUUUACUUCUGAGCAAUGAUCACAUGCUACUAACAGGCAAGUAUUAGUGGAAGUGCAGAGUGAAGACAAAAAACUGUUGCAGUAACAGUUCUUGUCAACAGGGGGAUCUCACUAGAUGUGGUCUUAUGGAUUCAUUACGUAUUUGUGGAGUCAACUUUUGUUCUUACAGAGGUGUAUGUCAGCCAUAGCUCAGAAGUAGCUCCCUCACCUCUGAACAAGAUCGGCAUAAGUUCAACUCCCACUUUAGGGAAACUUAUAAUAUCAACAGUCCCAGCACAGUGCAGAAGGAGUACUACACUGCUGGAGAUGCUGUCUUUCAGGUGUUGACAGAGUUGAAUUCACCUGGGCCCGUGGAGCGUAAUCCUGAUGCAAAUUAAAGCUGGUGGAAAGAUUCUGAUGAAUUAGGAUGGAAGUUGCUUCCUUCAAAAUAAAGUAGCACACUUACUUUUUUAGUAUGUACUUAAGACAGAGCAAUGAUAUUUGUAUUUUUAAAUAACACAAAUAAAAGUGUUUCACAGAU